AUGAUGAUGCUGCAAGAAGAAGGAAUAAUUCAAUGGAGGGGAGAAGGAGAAUAAGAGGAGAGAAGAGAAAGAGAAUUAAUAAAACCCCAAUUAAGUGGUGGAAGAUUUGAGGAAAAGGAACAUAACAAGAAAGGGACAAAGCUAAGACAUAAAGUUUUGAUUUUGGAAGAAAGAGGGGAUAUUAAGAAGCAUCAAGACCCAAUGAUACAAUUGUUGAAGAAAGUGAAGUGAAGUGAUGAGGCCACAGGGAAAAAAGGGUUAGCCAUAAAUGGCAACACACAAGUGGGAGAUUUUUACAUCUGCACAUUGAAUUAUUCUCCAAAGGGCAGAGAACAAGGAAUUUUUAUUUCUUGUUUAUUACAA